rnacentral:misc_RNA from 1 species
UCCGGUUUGUCACCGGCAGUCUCCCUAGAGUGCCCUUGCGUAGCAACUAGGGACAAGGGUUGCGCUCGUUGCGGGACUUAACCCAACAUCUCACGACACGAGCUGACGACGGCCAUGCAGCACCUGUGUCCUGAUUCUCUUUCGAGCACUCCCGCAUCUCCGCGGGAUUCCAGGCAUGUCAAGGGUAGGUAAGGUUUUUCGCGUUGCAUCGAAUUAAACCACAUGCUCCACCGCUUGUGCGGGCCCCCGUCAAUUCCUUUGAGUUUUAGCCUUGCGGCCGUACUCCCCAGGCGGGGCGCUUAAUGCGUUAGCUACGGCACGGAUCCCGUGGAAGGAAACCCACACCUAGCGCCCACCGUUUACGGCGUGGACUAC